ACGGGAGGCAGCAGUGGGGAAUAUUGCACAAUGGGGGAAACCCUGAUGCAGCGACGCCGCGUGAGCGAAGAAGUAUUUCGGUAUGUAAAGCUCUAUCAGCAGGGAAGAAAAUGACGGUACCUGACUAAGAAGCCCCGGCUAACUACGUGCCAGCAGCCGCGGUAAUACGUAGGGGGCAAGCGUUAUCCGGAUUUACUGGGUGUAAAGGGAGCGCAGACGGCAAGGCAAGUCUGAAGUGAAAUUCCAUGGCUCAACCGUGGAACUGCUUUGGAAACUGUUUAGCUAGAGUAUCGGAGGGGUAAGCGGAAUUCCUAGUGUAGCGGUGAAAUGCGUAGAUAUUAGGAGGAACACCGGUGGCGAAGGCGGCUUACUGGACGAUAACUGACGUUGAGGCUCGAAAGCGUGGGGAGCAAACAGGAUUAGAUACCCUGGUA
rnacentral:rRNA from 1 species